UCCUUCCUUUCAUGGAUACGUUAAUAAGUGGGACGGUAAGCUCUUUCUGCUGUUACAGCUCUUGUUCUGUUUCUCUGUCUUUAGAACGUGCUACGCUGCCUUGAAAACAGCUUCCUGCUCUGCCCAGGUGACCCUACAGUUGCCACCUUCUUAUGAUAGAGCCAUCAUUGUUUAAUUACUUCCCCAAAGGCUUACCUUUAAGGUAAGUUGGACUGGAGACUGAAUUUCUAACACACCAACUUGGAAGGCAACAUUCAAAAGCAAAGUGUAGGCUUUUUUAUGUGCACACACAUAAGCAUGUUGUGUGUAAUGUUGCUACUGUUGUGAGUUGUAAUAUAAAUAUCUAUUUUCUGAUGGUCUUAAGUGACCCCUGUGAAAGGGUUCUUCAACCUCCAUGUUGAGAACCACUGUCAUAGAAAAUAAAACCUGGUAACAGAGUAUUUUGAUCCCAUCAUCUUUGAAUUCCACUUGAGAGUCCUAAUUUUAGUAUUGGUUUCAACCUAUAGCUCCAAGUGAUACAGACAUGCACUUUAAGGUAUAACCAGGAGAUGCUUAUGCAGUGGACAGGAAGGUACUGAUCUCAACAGAAGAGAGAAGACACACACCUUUGGACGACACUUAAAAGAAAUACAUUGGAAAGAUUCAUUUAACUUUAUUUCUAAGAAUUUCAUUGAAUCUAAUGAGAGUUUUAUACACUGGUAACUCUCUUUUUCCUACUCCAAACUAUAGCAUACAUUUUAAGUUUCAUGUAUUUUGGCUGUAAUGGUGUAUAUCUGUAACCGUAGAACUUAGGAGAGCGAGUCAAAAUGAUUGCAAGAGUGAGGCCAGGCUGGCCUACAUAACAAGACCACAUCUAAGAACAACAAACAAACCGAAAAAAUCCAUCCUCAUCCCCACCAUUUUUUCAACUUGCUCCUUAGGUCUUCUGUCACCUUGGUAUGAAUCCUACACUAAGAAAGUUUGCAUGCCAAGCGUCAGGUGUGCUGCUGACGUAUGAUUGCAAUGGCUGCUUUAAUUCUGCCGCCUGCUGAUUCUACCUGAAGAAUGUCCAGAGAGUCGCUGGAGUACAACAUGGCUGUACCAUACUGUGUUCAUACCAACCUUCAGCAUUGCAUGCCAAGGGACACUUCACAAGGGACCAGCUCACUUGUGUUGGACCUGGGAUGUGUCAGAGUCAAGCAGCUACAUUUGCAGGCCUUCAGUUUCAUCUCUGCCAUGAAAGGUCACCUGCUCUCAGUCUACCUGCUCUCCACUCUCACCCCUGUUAGGCUGUAUCUCACAAGAGAUUAUCAAAUAAAUACCACGGUUAAAAAAUUACCAAAAAAAGUCAUAUGCAUGGUCCACCUAGGCACUUUGUAUAAUUCUCCACUAGCAUAUGCUGAAAAACAAUUGAAAAAGGAAGUUGAGAAACAUAGUUUUCAAAGGUAUGCGGGCUUUGCGUUUUGGUGUGCAUCGAUAAAUUUAAAUGGCGGCAUUUCCCACUGUGCUCGGAAAUGGCAAUAAACAAGAAGGAUAAUGGGAGCAUAAACUUGCACAAAUGUUCAUUAGAGCAAACAAUGCCCCUUGUGAUUCUGGGACUGUACGGAUGCACGCUAUUAUCUCUUCCCAGUGCAAGCGCAAAUACAGACCACGAGAGCUAACGAGCUGCGGUGUCGUCUGAAUUUCCAUGGACUGUAUUUACAGCUUCAGAGCCUUACUGAAUGGUGCCAAACAGACUUAUUAAUAAUAGCGCUAGUGACACUUCAUUGGAUAAUCCUCUCUGUUUUCGUUGAUCUUAAUGAGGUAGUUUGGGGUGGUAACCUGCAAUGGAAAACUUGGGAGCAGGUGGCAGCAGGACCCGAGUUGCCUCUUGAACUGAAAGGUAGCUAACAUCUAAAACAAUGCUUUGUUACCCAACAGCUACCCAGCACUACUUUUACUCUAAAAACAGGCAAAAGAUAAAUUUCAAAAACCUAAGACUUCAUCACCUUUUAAAGCUCUUCUGUAUGGAUGAAUGGACAGUAAGGACAGAUUUGUUGAAAUUUUGUGGCCUGUUCCCACAUGUCUGCAUUUCCCAAUGACACUUUCUUUAUGGAAAAGAGUGUACUAGGCAUAACACAUUUGUUUUUCCAUGA
rnacentral:sRNA from 1 species